UGUUAAAUUUUUCAUCCAUUUUUGUUGUAAAAACUGACGUAGCUAAUGAAAUAAUUAGACAAUGACACAUGAUAUGCCAUAAGUACUUUAUACUAAUGUACAAAAAUCAAUUUUUAACAGUAAAAAUAGAUGAAAUAUUUAACG
rfam:Gossypium hirsutum cultivar TM-1 unplaced genomic scaffold scaffold336.1, whole genome shotgun sequence